rnacentral:rRNA from 1 species
CGCGUAGGCGAUUUGAUAAGUUUCGUGUGAAAUCCCAGAGCUUAACUCUGGGACUGCACGGAAGACUGUUGAAUUUGAGUUCCGGAGAGGAAGGCAGAAUCCCCGGUGUAGCGGUGAAAUGCGUAGAUAUCGGGAGGAACACCAGAGGCGAAGGCGGCGAACUGGACAGUAACUGACACUCAACUGCGAAAGCGUGGGGAGCAAACA